UAAGGAUGGGGUGAGGGGAGCUGUGGGGAGAGUACUACUUAGGUGAGCCAGGGAGAGCUGGGGCAGCACUCCCUCUGUUUUUAGAAGAGGAAGGGGAGAUACACUCCUCUUCAGUCCUCCCGACUAGCUAUCCCAAUAUCCAGUGCCUAUUCCCCUUACAGUAGACUGUUUCUUAUUUUGCAAAGGCUGGAAGCCAGACUGGCAGAGGCCUCAGCCAGUGAAUUAUUGGUGUACUGCACACAUGUAAAGUUUCCUUUGCAGCUUAAGCAAAAUGUUGUUUUCCUCUGAUAAUUGUUUUUGCCACAUCUGUACUGACUUUAGGAUCCAAACCAGAGUCAUGAGUAAAACUUCCAUUGAGUUUGAUGGGAGCAGGAUCAGACUUCUGUACUGGCAGAUAUCAGGACUGGCAUCCGUGAGAGAAGAACCAGGUGGCUGUGAAUGUGCCCCUUACUGAUGAGAAGUGCUAACACACUUUGCAUUACUAUCAGCGCCUGGACUCCUGUGAUUAUGUGAGAAGCUCAGCUUUCAUUGUUAAAAGGGUAAUCUUCUAGUCCACAUGCUUAAAAAUGUGACCUAAAUGUGCAUGAUAGCCACCAUCUUGGCCAAUACACCAGGAUUGAACUGGAGACGUCCAGAGCUGAAAGCAUGAGCGGCUGUAGUUUGAGCUAACAAAUCAAGACUUCCUGCUAUGGGCUGUAACAAUUCAUAUCCUCUGUGGAUCAAGCCCAGAGAGGGAUCUGUAACACACAAUCACCACUGGAUUAAGUUUACAAUUAUUUUCAAAAAUGAAAAGGCAGAUUUAAAAAAUACCAGAACAAAAUGCAUAAUUUUUUUUAAAGAUCUUAUGAUUUUUCAGCCAAUCUCAUGAUUUCUUGGUGUCUGACUUAAGAUUUUUGAAAACUCAGGGUUGGCAAUAUUGCAAUCUUAUCAGGUUUUUUUGUUUAUCAUUACUUUCUACUAACAUCCAUGACCACAUGUCGUUUCAAUGAACUUUGGUGAGGAAAGAUCCUAUGUAUACCUAUUACAUGCCCACAAAUGGUUGUCA